rnacentral:rRNA from 1 species
AGAGUUUGAUCAUGGCUCAGGACGAACGCUGGCGGCGUGCUUAACACAUGCAAGUCGAACGGAAAGGCCCUUCGGGGUACUCGAGUGGCGAACGGGUGAGUAACACGUGGGUGAUCUGCCCUGCACUUUGGGAUAAGCCUGGGAAACUGGGUCUAAUACCGAAUAGGACCACGCGCUUCAUGGUGUGUGGUGGAAAGCUUUUGCGGUGUGGGAUGGGCCCGCGGCCUAUCAGCUUGUUGGUGGGAUAAUGGCCUACCAAGGCGACGACGGGUAGCCGGCCUGAGAGGGUGACCGGCCACACUGGGACUGAGAUACGGCCCAGACUCCUACGGGAGGCAGCAGUGGGGAAUAUUGCACAAUGGGCGCAAGCCUGAUGCAGCGACGCCGCGUGAGGGAUGACGGCCUUCGGGUUGUAAACCUCUUUCAAUAGGGACGAAGCGCAAGUGACGGUACCUAUAGAAGAAGCACCGGCCAACUACGUGCCAGCAGCUGCGGUAAUACGUAGGGUGCGAGCGUUGUCCGGAAUUACUGGGCGUAAAGAGCUCGUAGGUGGUUUGUCGCGUUGUUCGUGAAAACUCACAGCUUAACUGUGGGCGUGCGGGCGAUACGGGCAGACUAGAGUACUGCAGGGGAGACUGGAAUUCCUGGUGUAGCGGUGGAAUGCGCAGAUAUCAGGAGGAACACCGGUGGCGAAGGCGGGUCUCUGGGCAGUAACUGACGCUGAGGAGCGAAAGCGUGGGGAGCGAACAGGAUUAGAUACCCUGGUAGUCC